AUCGUUCGGCGAUUCCUCCCAUUCCGCCGGACGGUGUUCCCCUCUGAAGGUUUGAACCUUCUUUUUGGCCGGGCCGCAUUCGAGCCUGGCCAUUUUUU
rnacentral:sRNA from 1 species